UUAGUAGCAGCCCCAAUCUUCCCCAGCACACUCAAAUCCCGCCGUUUCGCGCGCUCGUAAACUCAGAAUCUCGUUCCCGAACCUCGGCCCAACUCUAUCGAGGAUUGUAAAAAUGUUUUACUUAAGAGUGAUUUUUAACUUUUAUCCUCAUCAGAUCUUGAAGAGUACAUCCUGAUCGCAAAUACAGAAUCAAAUCAUUGUUGGUUAGAAUCAUCACCAAAUUGCGGGAAAAAAAAAGGGAGAAAGACCGAAAAGGGGAGUUAGAUUGAUAAAGACUAGAACUAUAUACUUUUUUCAGUAACUGUGUAAACAUCGUGCUAUCCUGUAGCUUGACUAUUUAGAACACUUGCGUUCAUUACUCGCAAUCAAGGAUCAUCUUCUCUGCAUAUGUACAUCUUGCCCCUCCUCUGGGUAUAUGACGCCCGCUUUUCCAGAAAGGGUUAUCUCAAGUCCUCUACUUCCCCAAACCCCCUGCACUCAAUAUCUCAAUAUAUAUACAGAUAGAAAAAAAAAAAAAAGAAAAAGAAAACAACAAUUACGGUGCACCGGUAUACAGCUGCUUCCCCCCCUUCUUAAAGGCGAGAAUAACCUUCUGCCCACGAGAACCGACAACCCACUUGGCAAACUCCUUCGCGAGCUGCAGAUCCUGCGCCUGCGCGCCAAUCAGCAAGUGCGCUGGGUUAAGCAAG
rnacentral:sRNA from 1 species